UUUCUGCUCACUGGGAUAAUCCCAAACUCUUUGGACAGAAAUGGAUUAUGAUUUCUUAUGAAUGGUUGAGUCCAGAGAUUAGAGUGGAUAAAGCAAGUCAAAUUAAUGUUGACUGUAUCAGCAUUAGCAUACCCCUGAUUGUUUCUGUUACUUUUUUAGAAUAUAAAAACAGUUGGAUCCAUCUAGCUCUGUAUCUUGUCUCUGCAGCCAAGAGUGGAUGGCUUAGUGAAACAGUGUAAAAAUAGACCGUGUAUUCUUCUCCUAUUUACCUUAUAAUUUCCCAGCAACUGGUGAGUUAGAGACUUCUGGAACUCCGGGUUGCCUCCAAGCUCCAGUACCUAGUAGCUACCAGUGGCCCUGUCCUCUGAGAAUUUGUCUUGUCUCUUUUCUUACCUCUUUUGGGAAUUUGCUUUCCACAAUGUGCCUUGCCAUGGUAAUUCUUCACCAUGUAAAAACAAUUUCAAGCCUGCUUCCUGAUUGUUUUGCUAAAUGUUCUUUUGUUAUGAGAGGCAGUAAAGGAAAUGUGUUUUUUAACCAUCUCUCCAUCAUUAUUUUGCAGGUUUUAAUUGUAUUUCCCUUCAGCUCUUUUUCCAAACUGAUGUGUUUUUCUCUAUUUCCUAGAUGAAAGCCAUUCCAUUCUUUAUUGCCAUUCUCUCUCUUUUCUAAAUUUUACCCCCCAAAAGUUUUCUUUAAAAUGCUGAUCCUACUAAAACGACUUGAAUUUAGCUGGAAUAGGCAAGAGUGGCGUGGCUGGGGGCCUCAGAAGAACUCUCAUCAUCUGAGCAAUAGGGUCCUGUGACUUUGGGGGUCCCCUCUCCAUCUAAGGGGAGAGAUCCUAAUUCUUAGCCCUCGGUUCGCCUCUCUGACGACUCCCUAGCCCCACACAAAUAUUUCAGAGCUGUCUGCUUUGACCCCUAGAUCUCUUGCAGCAAAAAGCGAUAGCCCAAACUUGGGGUUGGGGUUAUUUUUUCACGUGUGCAUUGCUUUGCACUUAUCACCGCUCAGCUGCAUCUGCUGUUUUAUCACCCAGACACUCAGUGCAGUGAGACAACAUUGCCUCGACACCUCUUCAGCUCCGUUCCGAAUAUGUGCAGCAAAUGCAAAGCAGCUGAGCUACAAUGCAUUGCAGAUGGUUAAAGAAAAAUGCGUAAAGCUAAGGCCAGCUAUCCUUGCCUUGUAUCUGCAGAGCAGUCUGCACGGCUGUGGGGGCAAGAUGAAUGAUUCAUUGCCACCAUGAGAAGUGCCUGCAGAAAGGGAGAGCAUCCUUCACUCGCUGUACAGUUUCAGAGCCUGUGAUACCCUUGUGCAUGAUUCUCACAGAGGUACUGAGAAGCCCACGCUGCUGCUGUGCUCAGGGAUGCGGGUUGUCUCCAAAUUUCAUACCUGGAGCCCAGCUAUCAUCCCCAUACAAAAUUGAGGCAGUGCUGUGGGAAUUGCUGAUCAUGUCUACACCUGCUCCCCAAGCUCCGAGCAUCUCACGGUGCGAAAGGAGGUGACGAGCUGCAGAGACUGAAAUUCUCCGGGGAGGAACCUUUACAUAUCUUAGGACAUGCAAAGCGCUGUGACGAAAAAAAAAGGGAACUUCAAGCCUCAGUUUAAAUGCCUGAAAGCACUCUUGUCAUCGUCCUUUUAUAUCUGUGUAUUACUCCAGUUCUGUAAACAAGCUUAAAAUAGUCAAUGGUAAUACCAAGAUUCGGACAGAGGAAGAGCACCAAAGGCAGCAUCUUCAGCGGUGAUGAAUUACCUGACGUGUACGACUCCCUCACACCAUGCUUUGUGUCUUGCAAUGCUCAACUACUCGUUUGAACCUGGGAAUGACGCCCAGGUGGCUGUGCCAUGACGCCGGCAAACAUUUCAUACCAAAACAUUUUCUUUUGGUAUCAAGUAAACGGAAGGAGCCACUUAAUGCUCUUCUGAGCGAUGAUGGUUUUCAGAACUGGGAUGGGAUUAAAAGGUCAAUGCCUUGCAAUUGCCUCUGGAUCUGUGUCAGCAGUAACAAAGACCAACAUUAUGAAACUUGUAUUUAGUGGAAGAGAGUCAUGUCCACUUACGAUGGAGAUCUUUGGCAUGAAAAAGAGUAACAAAGUCCUAUCUUCAGCCUGGAACACGCUUUACGAGUGCAAGACCCCAUAACUAAAGGAGACUGGAAAUACAGUGCUGAGGGUAUUCCUCAGAGCCUCGUUUGGCACUUAUUUGGGUCAGAUCCAUGACAGGACCCAAGAAAAAUUGAAUGCCAAAUCUUGCCACUCCCUAAUCACACUCUGCAAAGAACAAGAUCCUCUGUAGCCUUAGGCUUCUUUAGCCAGCUGUGAUUACCUGAUCAGAUGUCUGCUAAACACUGCCUUGUCUGACCAGUAUCAUACCCUCAGGAAAGAUGUUUUCUGCCUUUGUAAACUCUUUAACAGAUGCUUUAUGGCAGUGGACUGCCUGUAUAGAGAAUUCAGGUCUUCGGAGUGUUCUGAUUUGUGUUUUGCAGACCCCUCAGGUUGCCUUUCCUGCCUCUCUCCACCCCAGGUGUGCAGAGAUGGCAGAUCAGAAGCUUUUGUUUCAGAGAAACGCACAACUUUGUUUUCAGAACUAUUAAUAUAGAAAUGUAAUUUCAGUCCUCGGAUAACACAGCUCCCUU